UGGGGAAAGAGAGGUUUGAGGGAGUCCAAAUCUCAGGAUGAUGUGUUCAAUGAGAACCGUGGUGACCACAUCUGCUGUUUCCCUAGUGGUGGGGAAUGCCUCAAUCCAGCCUGUGAAGGUGUCCACGAGAGUUAGCACCAGGUGGUAGAGUUGGAGACAGGAAGGAAUGAGUUGUGCCAAGGAUUUGUGGCUGACUAAGUCCAUCAGUCGGUGGGGGGAGAAGACCAUGAGGGGCU